rnacentral:lncRNA from 1 species
GGUAGAACAUCUCAGCCGUCUUCCCCUUCUGAUAGAAAAGAAGCUAGUCCCAAAACUGCUUCAGUGCCUAAUUCCCCGGUGAAAACCUCGCCAACUGCAGCGAGGCCAACAACUUCUCCACCGAAACAAACCACACCUGCGUCAUUGCCUUCUUCUUCAGCCAAGCCAGUGGCAACUACUGCCGCCUCUGUUCCAUCUUCCCCAGCCAAGUCCGUGGCAACUACGGCCUCUGUUCCAACUUCUCCAGCCAGGACAGUUGCAGCUGCUGUCUCUGCACCAACUUCUUCUCCAGCCAAGACAGCCCCAACUACAACAUCGGUGACAAAUUCCACAACCCCAAAACCUGCCCCCUCUACGACGACUACGAAUCGUGUGGCCAGCCCCAAAGCGUCAACAAUUCCAACAGUCAAACCUGCCAUGCAGUCUCCAGUUCAAUCGACAAAGAUCAAAGCGCCAACUGCUCCACCACCUUCACCUUUGACUCUCCCACCUCCCC